rnacentral:lncRNA from 1 species
CGGGCUGCACUCCUCUUCCACCCGCCGCGUCCCAAGCCCCUAGCUCGGAUCCUGGGCUUCAGCCUGCGUACCCCGGGGAUGCCAGGGCCCGCGGCCGCCGGCGCCCUCGGGGCACCAGAGAGAGAGAGAUCCUACGUUCUGUGCAAAACCUCUUACAGAUCACGCUGUGUAUUGAGUCCAGACGAAAAGCACAGGGAAAACCCCAACCUCGAGCGAGCCCCGUCUCACCUGAGGUCAGAACCUCUGAUGUUAGAGGGGCUGUUUUCGCAGCCAACAUGAACAUGGAGAAGGGACAAUUCAACCUUGUCUUCGCAGGUGGGUUUUCCCAAGCACGCGAUAAAGGAUGUAAACAGGAAGUGCUCCAUAAGCACUUCCAGUGGGAGGCUCUCUGUUAGGGGCUGGAGCAGAGGCUGGGGGAGGUGGGCGGGGACCCCGGAGCCCAGGAGUGGAUGUCCUUCCCUGCGGGAGUGGGCAACUGUCUGCUUUGAUGGCCCAGCUCUUUUUCCUCCUUCUACUGACAGCACCUUUUUUUUUCCUUAGAGAAAAGUGCUUCUCCUGUAGGCUCAGUCUGUAAUGUUUGGGUGGGACUCUGGCACACAGCAUGGAGGUACCUCUGAAAACUAAAUAUAGAACUACCAUUUGACCCACUCCUCCGCAUGUAUCCAGACAAAACUUUCACUGAAGAAGAUACAUGCACCCCUGUGCUCAUUGCAGUGCUAUUCACAAUAGCCAAGACAUGGAAACGACCUAAAUGUCCAUCAACAGAUGAAUGGGUUAAGAAGAUGUGAUAUAUAUAUAUAUAUAUAUAUAUAUAUAUAUACACACACACACACACACAAUGGAAUACUACUCAGCUAUAAAAAAGAACAAAGUAAUUUGCAGUGAUAUGGGUGGAACUAGAGACUCACAUACUAAGUGAAGUAAGUCAGAAAGAGGAAGACAAAUACCAUAUGACACCACUAAUAUCUGGAAGCUAAUAUACAGGCGGAAAUGAACCUAUCUAUGAAAAGAAACACACUCAUGGACUUGGAGAACAGAGUUGUGGUUGCCAAGGGGGAGGGGGAGAGAGUGGGGUGGACUGGGAUUUAGGGGUUAGUAGAUGCAAACUAUUGCCUUUGGAGUGGAUGAGCAAUGAGAUCCUGCUGUAUAGCACAGGGAACUAUAUCUAGUCACUUGUGAUGGAACAUGAUGGAGGAUAAUGGGAGAAAAAGAAUGUAUAUAUAUGUAUGACUGGGUCACUUUUCUGUACAGCAUAAAUUGACAGAACAUUGUAAAACAACUAUAAUAGAAAAAAAUAAAAAUCUUAUUUAAAAACA